GGUUAAUGGGACUUGGGAGGGAGGUAGUUAAGAUUAAUUUCCAAGUGCAGUAGUGCAGCCCAGUGCUGGGGAGGUUCGUGGCAUCUGAGGCCCAGAGACUGGAGAACAGAACAUGGGGCUGCCGUUUUAUGGCCCUGGGAAGCGAAGACAAUCAUAGGCCAAGUUACUGGUAGAGCCAACGCCAUCUUUUCCUGCUACUCUUGGAAUCCAGAUUUGGUGGCAGAGGAGAGCGCCAGAAAGUUCCAAGGCAACCAUCCUGCAUCGGUAAACACAGACAAGCCUACAGCUGCCGGCACACAACUAAAGUACCCUCCUGCCCAACACAGGAGAUUACCGCUCCUUGUAACCAGUCAAGCCUCUCCUUAAAGAGGGCUUUAGUGCCCAAUUAUGUCUCCAUAGAAACCUGAGAAGCAUGAGCAAGUUCAUCAGCAUAUCUCCGACCUCCCCUCCCCGCGCGCGGUGCUGAGCAGACCUGUGCAGGACCAACCUGUGUGGAAAAUGACAGUGUUUUUCCUGAGCCCCGAAGGAAGCCGGAGGUUUCGAAGCAGUCCUUUGGCGGUUAGGCGGACGUGGAUGGUGGAUAAGGAGAAUUUGGGAGACAACAGCAUGUCUUCGAAGCCAGUGGGAGAACUUCGCAGGGGAAGCAGCUUUUCCAGGGACCAUCACAUACUGUGUCUCUUGGCAACUCGGGGUUCUUCCAGGCCAAGAGAUACAGCCAGAGAAAAACAAGCUUACAUGCUAAUGCCAG
rnacentral:lncRNA from 1 species